rnacentral:rRNA from 1 species
UACGAAGGGUGCAAGCGUUAAUCGGAAUUACUGGGCGUAAAGGGUGCGUAGGCGGUUUGUCGCGUCUGCCGUGAAAGUCCGGGGCUCAACUCCGGAUCUGCGGUGGGUACGGGCAGACUAGAGUGAUGUAGGGGAGACUGGAAUUCCUGGUGUAGCGGUGAAAUGCGCAGAUAUCAGGAGGAACACCGAUGGCGAAGGCAGGUCUCUGGGCAUUAACUGACGCUGAGGAGCGAAAGCAUGGGGAGCGAACAGG